UUCCUAUCUGAAAAUAAUCUCCAUCAGCAUCCAAUCUUGUAUUCAGUGUCAAAUUAAAUCCCAGAUUUCAAGCCUUGGCAAUCAUUUUC